rnacentral:rRNA from 1 species
ACGGUCCUAAGGUAGCGAAAUUCCUUGUCAGGUAAGUUCUGACCCGCACGAAAGGUGUAACGAUCUGGGCACUGUCUCAACAACCCGCCCGGCGAAAUUGUAGUACCGGUGAAGAUGCCGGUUACCCGCGACUAGACGGAAAGACCCCAUGGAGCUUUACUGUAGCCUAAUAUUGGAUUUCGGUAUUUCACGUACAGGAUAGGUGGGAGACUGGGAAGCACAGGCGUCAGCUUGUGUGGAGUCGACCUUGGGAUACCACUCUUGGAGUGCUGGAAUUCUAACCUGCGGCUUUGAAGCAAGUCGGGGGACAUUGUUAGGUGGGCAGUUUGACUGGGGCGGUCGCCUCCUAAAGAGUAACGGAGGCGCUCAAAGGUUCGCUCUGCAUGGAUGGAAACCAUGCGUCAGAGUGUAAACGCAAAAGCGAGCCUAACUGCGAGAAUGACGGUUCGAGCAGUAACGAAAGUUGGAGUUAGUGAUCCGGCGGUAUGUGAAUGGAAAUGCCGUCGCUCAACGGAUAAAAGCUACCCUGGGGAUAACAGGCUGAUCUCCCCCAAGAGUCCACAUCGACGGGGAGGUUUGGCACCUCGAUGUCGGCUCAUCGCAUCCUGGGGCUGAAUUCGGUCCCAAGGGUUUGGCUGUUCGCCAAUUAAAGCGGUACGCGAGCUGGGUUCAGAACGUCGUGAGACAGUUCGGUCCCUAUCUGUCGUGGGCGUAGGAUAUUUGCAAGGAGCUGUCCCUAGUACGAGAGGACCGGGAUGGACGCACCUCUGGUGCACCAGUUGUCACGCCAGUGGCACAGCUGGGCAGCUAUGUGCGGAACGGAUAAACGCUGAAGGCAUCUAAGCGUGAAGCCGCCCUUAAGAUAAGAUAUCCCUUCUGUUUACAGAGUAAGACCCCUUGAAGACUACAAGGUUGAUAGGCUCAAAGUGUAAGCACGGUGACGUGUUUAGCUAGCGAGUACUAAUCGGUCGAGGGCUUAACCUU